CGGAGAUCCUCCUGCCUCAGCCUCCCAAGUGGUGGAAUUACAGGCUCACCGGAUCUAGGCAUCCUAUCGAAAACCUGCUUGAUUUCCACCAGAUCUAAUCAGCACUUUCUGAUUGGUCGUGGAUGCAGGGCUUGGGAACUCUUCUGCGCAUGUGUCCUCAUGCCUGACAGGUCACACCCACUUGUCCAGCCAGGUGCCUUUUGCCCCAUCUCCUCCUCACUGCUUCAACCUCCCCAGUGCUGGGACUGCAGGUAUGUGUCAAAGGAUUUGCUUUUUCACUCACUUCAAUGCUAUAAAUUUUCCAUUGUAUGAUCUACCAAUAAUAUUUCCUUCUCUC